rnacentral:rRNA from 1 species
GAUGAACGCUGGCGGCGUGCCUAAUACAUGCAAGUCGAGCGAACAGAUCAGGAGCUUGCUCCUCUGACGUUAGCGGCGGGCGGGUGAGUCACACGUGGAUAACCUACCUAUAAGACUGGGAUAACUUCGGGACACCGGAGCUAAUACCGGAUAAUAUAUUGAACCGCAUGGUUCAAUAGUGAAAGACGGCUUUGCUGUCACUUAUAGCUGGUUCCGCGCCGCAUUAGCUAGUUGGUAUGGUAACGGCUUACCACGGCAACCAUGCGUAGCCGACCUGAGAGGGUGAUCGGCCACACUGGAACUGAGACACGGUCCAGACUCCUACGAGAGGCACCAGACGCGAAUCUGCGGCAAUGGGCGAAAGCCUGACAUAGCAAUGCCGCGUGUGUGACUGCGGUGUUGGGAUCGGAAAACUGUGUUAGCAGGGGAGAACAGAUGUGUAAGUUACUGUGCAGUUCUUGACGGUACCUAAUCAGAAAGCCACGGCUAACUACGUG